GCCACGCCUUCCGGGUUGCCGCCGCCAGCCAGGAGCCGGUUUCUGUUCCUGGGUCAGGAGGAGGCGCCGGCCGCGCGGAGGCCGAGCUCGGCGGCGCGGAUUCCAAGGGCCGGCUGCGCUGCCCCACAGCGAUAUUCUUAACCUUGCCCGGGGCUGGUUUUUUGUGGGGGCCGGGGGAGAGCUUAGGAGCGGGGAAAUAGUGAUACCCAGCGUCUCGCCUGCCGCAUGCACUGAGCGAGAAAAGGGACGGAGUUAGGAGAGAGGACUGCAAAAGGAACAUAAAGGAGGCUUUUCACCUGCUGACUAAAACGAGAGAGGAAAGGGCUGGGGGAGCUGGACAAUACCGGAGUAUUGAUCAUCCCCGGGCUCGGAUCCUGCAGACAUUUAUGCAUAUGCGUCUCAGCUCCUUGGCGCUAAGAUCAAGCGCAAGUUGUUUCUCGGCCUAUUAAAGGCUAUGAUCAAGUGGGUUUGAUGGGUUUGCUCUUUAGGCCCCGAGAUGAAAGCCUUGUCGGUGUCUCUUGGAUGGUGAACUGCAAGCUUUCUCUUUCCACCGAAUGCAUCCGAUGAAGUGAGCUGUGGCUCACGAAAGCUUAGGCUCAAAUAAAUUGGUUCGUCUCUAAGGUGCCACAAGUCCUCCUUUUCUUUUUGCGAAUACAGACUAACACGGCUGCUACUCUGAAGCCAAGCUUUAUCUUCUAAGCUAAUAUCUAAGUGUUUUAUACGGCCACCACCCAUCACCUUACUAUCUGAGCACCAUCUAUGUGAAAUAGAUUAGCAAGAGCAAAGUCCCUGCUAGACUUCCCAGCAUCUUCCUUUGAGGGGGGAAAAAAAACCUUCCUUGGGAGCGGGUUAUUUGUUGGUCUGUUUGUUCAUUUGGGGUCUGUUUCAGGACGGAGGAAUAGUAAAGGGUAUUGGUGUUGUGACUGCCAUUCUUGCUAUAUGGAAAGGCUUUAUCAAAGAGGAAGAUUUUGAAAUGUUUCCUAAAAAUGGGAAGACUCUGGAUUCAUUUAAUCUGGACCUUGAUUCCAUAGGCCUCCAUGGGGUUACUCCUAUGAAUAAAUUUACACAUGUGAGUAUGCAUUUGCAGGAUCAGAGCCUAAAUCUCUCCCUCUUAUGCCCCAAGCCCGGAAACACAAACUUAACUCCUAACCAGUCCCAUCAAUGGUAGUCAAGUUAAACACAUGCAUAAGUGAUCAGGACCUUAUGAUGAAUUUGUUAUUAGUGUGUUCCAAUGAAACAUUUUAAAUAUCAUUCAGUCAUCGUUUUAAAUUGUCCCUCAUUUCUGAAAAAAGAAAAGGAGGACUUGUGGCACCUUAGAGACUAACAAAUUUAUUUGAGCAUAAGCUUUCGUGAGCUACAGCUCACUUCAUCGGAUGCAUUUCUGAGAAGCAAUGAAUAUGCCCACGUGAUUUUUCAGAAAAAACCCUAAGAGUAGCAUUAAUCCAUGUGCAAUUUGUCAGUGAGGUGUAUUUAUUAACUUUUCAAUGUAUACAAAUGUUUUUGGGGAAAUCAGCUGCAAACAUUUUUCUUAUUUUAAAAUCAUUGGUGACAAUGAUGGGAUUAGAGCCUAAAUGUGUAUCCUGAACAUCUUAAUAACUAACAACUAAAUAGAAAAUCGCCUUUUUCUGAUUUUAUAUUUUUAAUUAUUUUUGUUGAAACUAUGAAAUUUAGCACCCAUCUCUUAAAAAACAAGUAACAUCUUUCUAUGAUAAAUAACUAAUCAGCUCCAACAUGCAGGAAGCAGCACUCCAUUGUGACAGGGCUGAGAUAAUAACAGCCAGAUAGAAAGUUCAUAGGAGGCUUAGGUUAAACAAAAUGAAAAAAUCCUCUUUGAAGUUUUCAGGUUUAUUGUUUUUGUAUCUAGCACAAUUAAAACAGCAACAAAACCCCCUCAGUGUCUCUGGACACAUUCCCUUCAUAAAACUUGAAAAACAGGACUAUCUGUAAACACAAAAUAAUAUAAACAGACCAACUCUUCCAUCUCUAGCAUUCCCUGUGCUGGCUCCUAGCCAAGCCCAUGCUUAUCGUGAGUGUGAAGCCCAGCCUCUUUGUAAAGUUCUGAGUUUUAUCUUAGCUCAGCAGCACCUAAUUAUUCCCCAGAUGAGCAUGCCUGGAUCACUUCUCAGUCAUAAACUGUAGGACUUGUCUACACAGCAAGUUACUGCACGGCAAGCCAGGGUAUGAAUCUGCAGUGUACCAGCGGACACUGCUACAGCACAAUGAAAGUCCUGGUGUGCAGUUUCUGGGACUUUCAUUGCACUGUCCAUGUGACAGGUAUGGCAAUUUCCUGCAAUAUCCUGGACGAACCUUACUGAAUUAAGUCGAUGUAUCAUUGUCCAGGGAUAUCAUUGACCAGGGCCAGGGAUUUUGUGUAAUUCCCAGGGAACAGGGGGACCAGUGCUACUCCAGGAACUAAAAACAGUGACGGGGGACAGAGGGUAGGCAAGUUCACUAAGCUUAUAACACCUCCAGAGAGGUACGCCCACUUGGAGAGAGGAUCACAUAUACUGGUCAGAUUGGAUUCUCUGGGGACCAACAGACAAAGAAAGGAUUUUUGGAUAAAUAGCCUGAGUUUAAACUGAUUCGGGGCCUUCUUUCUCAUCAAGCAAACCAUCCAACCGGACAUCUGAUCCAUGGGGGGCCCCAAUCCUUAGGGAAGGGUUGGAAGGAUUUGGCCCAGGCUGGGUGUUUGUUCUGAGAUGAAGCUGUCGUGAACUAGUGACCACAGGGAAACUCUGUAUAGGGUUUGAGGACUAAUGAUCAGCAAGAGGUCUUGUCAGAGCGGGUGGUGAUCUCUGAUGCAUGAGGAUAUGUAAACUGUUUACUUAAAUCUUUAACCGGAAAGUACCCAGGAGGGACUGUGUAAGAUUCCAGACAGAAGCUCUACCAUGAAGCAGAGUCAUCUAAGAACUUUAACUAUUUUAAAGGUCCAGGAUGUAAUAUCUGGGAUUUAAACUACGUGUCAAUACCUCUUUGAACUCAAGGCUGCCUCUGAAAGGAAGACAAAAUAGGGUACUGAUGAGGCAGAAAUGUCUAGCAGUUUCUUAAUAAAAAUCCUAAUGAAAAACUAAAAAUUGGCCAGUCUUCUUAAGCAAU